AUUGAACGCUGGCGGCAUGCCUAACACAUGCAAGUCGAACGGCAGCAUAGUAUGUACUUGUACAUAUGGGUGGCGAGUGGCGAACGGGUGAGUAAUGCGCAGGAAUAUACCUUAAAGAGGGGGAUAACUUGGGGAAACACAAGCUAAUACCGCAAGUACUCUAAGGAGUGAAGCUGGGGACCUUCGGGCCUGGCGCUUUAAGAAUAGCCUGCGUCCGAUUAGCUAGUUGGUGGGGUAAAGGCCUACCAAGGCGACGAUCGGUAGCUGGUCUGAGAGGAUGGACAGCCACACUGGGACUGAGACACGGCCCAGACUCCCACGGGAGGCAGCAGUGGGGAAUAUUGGACAAUGGGGGCAACCCUGAUCCAGCAAUGCCGCGUGUGUGAAGAAGGCCUGAGGGUUGUAAAGCACUUUUAGUGGGGAGGAGGGUAUCUAGGUUAAGAGCUAGGAUAUUGGACGUUACUCACAGAAAAAGCACCGGCUAACUCCGUGCCAGCCGCCGCCGUAA
rnacentral:rRNA from 1 species